rnacentral:lncRNA from 1 species
GCCCCACUACUCUCCACAACAAAUUUCUCCUGACUCUGGACAGCCCACUGCCAGACGGUUACAGAUGUCACUAUCAGCUUGCCGCCCCCUCUGCCUAUAAAAAGGGGACCUCAGAUACGUUAUUCUAUAAGCUCUCAUUUUUACCUAGAAACUCUGCUAAAAUUUCUGUUCGAGCACUCCAUUCUUGUUGAGGCAGAGAACUGACUUGAGCGUCGGAGGAUCUUGUCGGAGCAACCCCACCUCCAGUUUAGACUUCUUUUGCAGGUUCCGACGGCGACCGCGACUCCAGCUCCUCCGGCGUAGGCGGAUUUUUGCACCAACAGUCAGAAAUGAUGCGCACGCACCCCGGG